rnacentral:rRNA from 1 species
UACGUAGGGUGCAAGCGUUGUCCGGAAUUAUUGGGCGUAAAGAGCUCGUAGGCGGUCUGUCGCGUCGGCUGUGAAAUCCCGAGGCUCAACCUCGGGUCUGCAGUCGAUACGGGCAAACUGGAGUGUUACAGGGGAGACUGGAAUUCCUGGUGUAGCGGUGAAAUGCGCAGAUAUCAGGAGGAACACCGGUGGCGAAGGCGGGUCUCUGGGCAACAACUGACGCUGAGGAGCGAAAGCGUGGGGAGCGAACAGG